ensembl:misc_RNA 7SK 7SK RNA
AGGUGUGAGCAAUCUGGCUGCAAUGUCUGUCAUUCCAUUGAUCACCAGGGUUGAGUUGGUCAAUCUAGCUUGCUAGGUGGGUGUCUCUUUCCUCCCUCACUGCUCUGUGAGUGUUCUUCCCGAAACUGCACAUUUGGUCAAAGAGGAUGACCUUCCCUGAAAGAGCAGGACUGUUCUUCAGUAGAGGGUAUAGUUCUGCUAGAACCUCCAAACAAGCUCUCCAAGUCCAUUUGUAGGGGAACAUAUGGUAGUGAAGCUUCUAAGACUCCAGACGUAUACAGAUGAGGUGCUGCAUGUGGCAGUCUGCCUUUAUUA